AUUGAACGCUGGCGGCAGGCCUAACACAUGCAAGUCGAGCGGAUGAAGGGAGCUUGCUCCUGGAUUCAGCGGCGGACGGGUGAGUAAUGCCUAGGAAUCUGCCUGGUAGUGGGGGAUAACGUCCGGAAACGGGCGCUAAUACCGCAUACGUCCUGAGGGAGAAAGUGGGGGAUCUUCGGACCUCACGCUAUCAGAUGAGCCUAGGUCGGAUUAGCUAGUUGGUGGGGUAAAGGCCUACCAAGGCGACGAUCCGUAACUGGUCUGAGAGGAUGAUCAGUCACACUGGAACUGAGACACGGUCCAGACUCCUACGGGAGGCAGCAGUGGGGAAUAUUGGACAAUGGGCGAAAGCCUGAUCCAGCCAUGCCGCGUGUGUGAAGAAGGUCUUCGGAUUGUAAAGCACUUUAAGUUGGAAGGAAGGGCAGUAAGUUAAUACCUUGCUGUCUUGACGUUACCAACAGAAUAAGCACCGGCUAACUUCGUG
rnacentral:rRNA from 1 species